rnacentral:miRNA from 1 species
UUGCAUUUUUAAAGUAAAAUGGCUAAAAUGUGUUUGUUUAACACAUUUUAGCCAUUUUACUUUAAAG